CAUAGCGUAGUCGGUUAACGCGCCAGAUUGUGGAUCUGGAGAUCGAGGGUUCGAGUCCCUCUG
rnacentral:tRNA from 2 species